AACGCGAAGAACCUUACCAGCCCUUGACAUGUCCGGGACCGGUCGCAGAGAUGUGACCUUCUCUUCGGAGCCCGGAACACAGGUGCUGCAUGGCUGUCGUCAGCUCGUGUCGUGAGAUGUUGGGUUAAGUCCCGCAACGAGCGCAACCCCCGUCCUUAGUUGCUACCAUUUAGUUGAGCACUCUAAGGAGACUGCCGGUGAUAAGCCGCGAGGAAGGUGGGGAUGACGUCAAGUCCUCAUGGCCCUUACGGGCUGGGCUACACACGUGCUACAAUGGCGGUGACAAUGGGAUGCUAAGGGGCGACCCUUCGCAAAUCUCAAAAAGCCGUCUCAGUUCGGAUUGGGCUCUGCAACUCGAGCCCAUGAAGUUGGAAUCGCUAGUAAUCGUGGAUCAGCACGCCACGGUGAAUACGUUCCCGGGCCUUGUACACACCGUACGUC
rnacentral:rRNA from 1 species